rnacentral:rRNA from 1 species
AUUGAACGCUGGCGGCAGGCCUAACACAUGCAAGUCGAGCGGCAGCGGGAAAGUAGCUUGCUACUUUUGCCGGCGAGCGGCGGACGGGUGAGUAAUGCCUGGGGAUCUGCCCAGUCGAGGGGGAUAACUACUGGAAACGAUAGCUAAUACCGCAUACGCCCUACGGGGGAAAGCAGGGGACCUUCGGGCCUUGCGCGAUUGGAUGAACCCAGGGGGGAUUAGCUAGUUGGUGAGGUAAUGGCUCACCAAGGCGACGAUCCCUAGCUGGUCUGAGAGGAUGAUCAGCCACACUGGAACUGAGACACGGUCCAGACUCCUACGGGAGGCAGCAGUGGGGAAUAUUGCACAAUGGGGGAAACCCUGAUGCAGCCAUGCCGCGUGUGUGAAGAAGGCCUUCGGGUUGUAAAGCACUUUCAGCGAGGAGGAAGGGUUGGUAGCUAAUAACUGCCAGCUGUGACGUUACUCGCAGAAGAAGCACCGGCUAACUCCGUGCCAGCCGCCGCCGUAAAAC